AUUUGUCGUGCGAUAAAUUUCGUCGAGAUAGAACGUUUCAGACUUUAGCGUGGAAUGAAACGUUUCGAUUGGGGAAUUAUCAACGG
rnacentral:antisense_RNA from 1 species